rnacentral:rRNA from 1 species
CAGUAGCCGCGGUAACACGUAGGUCCCGAGCGUUGUCCGGAUUUAUUGGGCGUAAAGCGAGCGCAGGCGGUUUCUUAAGUCUGAUGUGAAAGCCCCCGGCUUAACCGGGGAGGGUCAUUGGAAACUGGGAGACUUAGAGUGCAGAAGAGGAGAGUGGAAUUCCAUGUGUAGCGGUGAAAUGCGUAGAUAUAUGGAGGAACACCAGUGGCGAAGGCGACUCUCUGGUCUGUAACUGACGCUGAGGCGCGAAAGCGUGGGGAGCAAACAGGAUUAGAUACCCCAGUAGUCCCUGUCUCUUAUA